rnacentral:lncRNA from 1 species
AAAAUUGUCCAUAAUAGUAACUACAUACCAUCUCAAAUUAUUAGUAUAACAUGAUUUAUUUGGUGUAUAACAUAAUUCAACGACGUUCUCAUCAAUAUCUAUGCUUUCUUCAUUUUUACAAUUGAGCCAUUUUCCCGCACAGUUCUACAUAAAGAACGUAGAGAUUUAUCAGAUCAUCAAAUGUAAUAAUUUUUCAAUCUUCAUCAACUUUUAUUAAUUUG